UGGCCACCGAGUACCAUUCCUGGCCCCAUUCUUCGGGCAGUACAAAAGUUGCUGAAGUUUGCGGGUUGCCCAGCAGAAUCACAACAGGGGCCGGCAUUUCUCUCUUCCGACUCUCUGCAGUGCCACAGGACUACUCCAAACCAGGAGCACUGACCCCUGCGAGCCCAUGGGGCAGAGUUUGCAGCGGAAGCCGUCUGGGGAGAAGAGGGGUAAGAUCUGCAUCAUUAACAAAGCUGCUCAAUCUGGACACCGGUGAAUUCGCUCUCUGAAGUUAUCUGUGGAGCCUUCUUUCCAUCAGCUAAUCAGAAUGGCCCACAGCCUAGGGUCAUCCUUCUACGGAGCCAGGCGAGACGGCCGGGGAGGGCUCUGAGCUGGAACGGGGCCUCCACGCCAUCGUGGGCAGUUUCUACAGAUACGCCGAGGGCCCCGAGGGGUUAAAGGAGCUGGACCAGGCGGCUUUCCAGAGGUUGCUCCGCAAUGAAUUGAGCCAUCAGCUCACAGACACGGAGCACACGGAGGCGGCACUGAACAUGUUUCAGAGGGUGGAUGCCAACCAGGACCAGAAGAUCUCCUUCGAGGAGUACUGGGACCUCGUCACAGAGAUCUGCCGAGUGAUCCAGUGCCGCCAUUAUAACGAGUAGUGACCGGGGCAGCUGGUUUGGGGGAGGGGAAACUGAGGCACAUGCCUAAGCAGAAAGCGACCUCACUUUUGCACUCAAAGCAAACCUGCACCUCUCCCACCAUGCCCCACCCACUAACCCAAGUGACCUUAACCUAUGUGCCUGCUGGGAUCUCCACCCCUACCCCCCUUUUUCACGUCUGAGGCCAGCCUGAUCCCUCCUUCUCCCUCGGCCUUCACUCCCCCCACUGCCAGGAGUCACCUCGUACACUCUGAAUCCACCUUGGCCUCUGCUCCCUACGUCACCUGCUGCUCGGAUCCCUCCCAAUUUCCUGUCCCCCUCCAGCGCUGGCAUGGGAAACCCACCCCAUCCAACUCUCCAGUUGCUGGGCUCCCACGCCGCCCCCUGCCCUGCCAUUUAGAUCUCUCCCUGAGCCCUGCGUUCGGCCUGUUCUCCCAGCAUCACCCACUGCCCAAUGGAACUAGGCAACAUGGCAGGAAUAAAGAGUCUUCUCUUGAAGGAGAGGACCAUCGGGGUGUGACAAAAUUGGCUUCUAAAACCCCUCACCUGUGUGUUUGGCCCGGGGCUGACUGGGACACAAGAGCUGAAGUGCCAGAUGGAUUUUGCUCAUGAGGCUUCAGGCUGGCCAGAUAGGCAGCCAGAGCAUUUGGUGUGACUGGUUUCUGGCCUAUUUGGGAAGGUCCCCAGUCUGGGGCUGUAAGGAGCCCAGAGUUUGAGCAAUUCGUCCUGAGCGGACACCCUCAGUGCUGCCCAGACCCGGCCUGGUCCGUCACACGCCCCAAAUAGGGCAUUGGACACAUGACGUAUCCUACACAAUACGGAAUCCGUUGGUAAAUAUGAUUAGACCGACCAAGUCUCGCUUUGCUAUAAAAUGGGUUUAGUAAGAACAAUCGAUGGGAGGGAAUGAGUAGGAUUGACCCACAGGUCCUGCUCGAUGUACCUAGAAGUAAAUAGACCCUUCACACAUUGAAUGGAGUUCCAUUGUGUGGGAAGAAAAGGAAGUACGAUCUCCGGCCUGGUACUGUAGGUAGCAUACGGGUGAAGUGUAAGUGAACUAGGUUCUAUUAUUGUAUUAUAGUAGAUCCUCUAUUAAUUGUUUUUGCAUUGCUUUCUGCUGUAUUAAUUGCUUUAGAAUUUAUAGCAUUUAAGAUUUAAAUUGUGUAUUUUUUUUUUUAGGCUUGUAAAACGUAAACAACUGUAUUAACUGCUUAAAGCUU